GACGAACGCUGGCGGCGUGCUUAACACAUGCAAGUCGUACGGUAAGGCCCUUUCGGGGGUACACGAGUGGCGAACGGGUGAGUAACACGUGAGUAACCUGCCCACAACUUUGGGAUAACGCUAGGAAACUGGUGCUAAUACUGGAUAUGUGUUCCUGCUGCAUGGUGGGGGUUGGAAAGCUCCGGCGGUUGUGGAUGGACUCGCGGCCUAUCAGCUUGUUGGUGGGGUAGUGGCCUACCAAGGCGGCGACGGGUAGCCGGCCUGAGAGGGUGACCGGCCACAUUGGGACUGAGAUACGGCCCAGACUCCUACGGGAGGCAGCAGUGGGGAAUAUUGCACAAUGGGCGCAAGCCUGAUGCAGCAACGCCGCGUGCGGGAUGACGGCCUUCGGGUUGUAAACCGCUUUCAGCAGGGACGAAGCUUUUUGUGACGGUACCUGCAGAAGAAGCACCGGCUAACUACGUG
rnacentral:rRNA from 1 species